CAGCACCUCAAGUGGUCAGGAUGAUUAUUGGGCCUAAAGCAUCCGUAGCCGGCGCUGUAAGUUUUCGGUUAAAUCUGUACGCUUAACGUACAGGCCGCCGGGAAUACUGCAGAGCUAGGGAGUGGGAGAGGUAGACGGUACUCGGUAGGAAGGGGUAAAAUCCUUUGAUCUAUUGAUGACCACCUGUGGCGAAGGCGGUCUACCAGAACACGUCCGACGGUGAGGGAUGAAAGCUGGGGGAGCAAACCGGAUUAGAGACCCGAGUAGUCC
rnacentral:rRNA from 1 species